UGAGAGUCGUGUCCUCUCCACUUGGU
rnacentral:piRNA from 1 species